rnacentral:rRNA from 1 species
AUUCCAGCUCCAAUAGCGUAUAUUAAAGUUGUUGCAGUUAAAAAGCUCGUAGUUGGAUUUCUGGUGGGAGCGAUCGGUCUGGCGCUUAGCGCGAGUACUUGCAUCGUCUCCGGCCAUCCUUGGGGAGAGUUUGUCUGGCAUUAAGUUGUCGGGCAGAGGAUCCUCAUCGUUUACUGUGAAAAAAUUAGAGUGUUCAAAGCAGGCUUAUGCCGUUGAAUAUAUUAGCAUGGAAUAAUAAGAUAGGACUUUGGUACUAUUUUGUUGGUUUGCGCACCAAAGUAAUGGUUAAUAGGGACAGUUGGGGGUAUUCGUAUUCCGUUGUCAGAGGUGAAAUUCUUGGACCGUUUGAAGACAAACUACUGCGAAAGCAUUUGCCAAGAAUGUUUUCAUCA